rnacentral:rRNA from 1 species
UACGGGGGGGGUAAGCGUUGUUCGGAAUUACUGGGCGUAAAGGGUGCGUAGGCGGGCCCUUAAGUCAGUGGUGAAAGCUCCGAGCUUAACUCGGAAACUGCCAUUGAUACUAUAGGUCUUGAAUUCGGUCGAGGUUGGCGGAAUGUGUCGUGUAGCGGUGAAAUGCUUAGAUAUGACACAGAACACCGAUUGCGAAGGCAGCUAGCUAGACCGACAUUGACGCUGAGGCACGAAAGCGUGGGGAUCAAACAGG